rnacentral:rRNA from 1 species
AGGAUCAAUCAGCCAUCGCGAAUCUCGCUUUGUCGUCAAGUCCCAACCCUUCAAAGGAAAGUUCAUGAAGCGCCGUCUGUUCGCCCCCUCUGUCGGAGUGCUCGGCCUGGCCCUGGUCCUGACGGUCACCUCCUCACGUGCCGACGAGACACCCUCGGACCAGACGUCCGAACCCCAACCCGACCCCGAGAGCCUCUACUGGAAGAUCAGCCCCGGAACGCUGCCGUGCGGCGGGACCCCGCGACGUCGU